rnacentral:rRNA from 1 species
GGUUAAGCGACUAAGCGUACACGGUGGAUGCCCUGGCAGUCAGAGGCGAUGAAGGACGUGCUAAUCUGCGAUAAGCGUCGGUGAGGUGAUAUGAACCGUUAUAACCGGCGAUUUCCGAAUGGGGAAACCCAGUGUGUUUCGACACACUAUCAUUAACUGAAUCCAUAGGUUAAUGAGGCGAACCGGGGGAACUGAAACAUCUAAGUACCCCGAGGAAAAGAAAUCAACCGAGAUUCCCCCAGUAGCGGCGAGCGAACGGGGAGCAGCCCAGAGCCUGAAUCAGUGUGUGUGUUAGUGGAAGCGUCUGGAAAGGCGUGCGAUACAGGGUGACAGCCCCGUACACAAAAAUGCACAUACUGUGAGCUCGAUGAGUAGGGCGGGACACGUGGUAUCCUGUCUGAAUAUGGGGGGACCAUCCUCCAAGGCUAAAUACUCCUGACUGACCGAUAGUGAACCAGUACCGUGAGGGAAAGGCGAAAAGAACCCCGGCGAGGGGAGUGAAAAAGAACCUGAAACCGUGUACGUACAAGCAGUGGGAGCCUCUUAAUGGGGUGACUGCGUACCUUUUGUAUAAUGGGUCAGCGACUUAUAUUCUGUAGCAAGGUUAACCGAAUAGGGGAGCCGAAGGGAAACCGAGUCUUAACUGGGCGUUAAGUUGCAGGGUAUAGACCCGAAACCCGGUGAUCUAGCCAUGGGCAGGUUGAAGGUUGGGUAACACUAACUGGAGGACCGAACCGACUAAUGUUGAAAAAUUAGCGGAUGACUUGUGGCUGGGGGUGAAAGGCCAAUCAAACCGGGAGAUAGCUGGUUCUCCCCGAAAGCUAUUUAGGUAGCGCCUCGUGAAUUCAUCUCCGGGGGUAGAGCACUGUUUCGGCAAGGGGGUCAUCCCGACUUACCAACCCGAUGCAAACUGCGAAUACCGGAGAAUGUUAUCACGGGAGACACACGGCGGGUGCUAACGUCCGUCGUGAAGAGGGAAACAACCCAGACCGCCAGCUAAGGUCCCAAAGUCAUGGUUAAGUGGGAAACGAUGUGGGAAGGCCCAGACAGCCAGGAUGUUGGCUUAGAAGCAGCCAUCAUUUAAAGAAAGCGUAAUAGCUCACUGGUCGAGUCGGCCUGCGCGGAAGAUGUAACGGGGCUAAACCAUGCACCGAAGCUGCGGCAGCGACGUUUAUGCGUUGUUGGGUAGGGGAGCGUUCUGUAAGCCUGCGAAGGUGUACUGUGAGGUAUGCUGGAGGUAUCAGAAGUGCGAAUGCUGACAUAAGUAACGAUAAAGCGGGUGAAAAGCCCGCUCGCCGGAAGACCAAGGGUUCCUGUCCAACGUUAAUCGGGGCAGGGUGAGUCGACCCCUAAGGCGAGGCCGAAAGGCGUAGUCGAUGGGAAACAGGUUAAUAUUCCUGUACUUGGUGUUACUGCGAAGGGGGGACGGAGAAGGCUAUGUUGGCCGGGCGACGGUUGUCCCGGUUUAAGCGUGUAGGCUGGUUUUCCAGGCAAAUCCGGAAAAUCAAGGCUGAGGCGUGAUGACGAGGCACUACGGUGCUGAAGCAACAAAUGCCCUGCUUCCAGGAAAAGCCUCUAAGCAUCAGGUAACAUCAAAUCGUACCCCAAACCGACACAGGUGGUCAGGUAGAGAAUACCAAGGCGCUUGAGAGAACUCGGGUGAAGGAACUAGGCAAAAUGGUGCCGUAACUUCGGGAGAAGGCACGCUGAUAUGUAGGUGAAGUCCCUCGCGGAUGGAGCUGAAAUCAGUCGAAGAUACCAGCUGGCUGCAACUGUUUAUUAAAAACACAGCACUGUGCAAACACGAAAGUGGACGUAUACGGUGUGACGCCUGCCCGGUGCCGGAAGGUUAAUUGAUGGGGUUAGCGGUAACGCGAAGCUCUUGAUCGAAGCCCCGGUAAACGGCGGCCGUAACUAUAACGGUCCUAAGGUAGCGAAAUUCCUUGUCGGGUAAGUUCCGACCUGCACGAAUGGCGUAAUGAUGGCCAGGCUGUCUCCACCCGAGACUCAGUGAAAUUGAACUCGCUGUGAAGAUGCAGUGUACCCGCGGCAAGACGGAAAGACCCCGUGAACCUUUACUAUAGCUUGACACUGAACAUUGAGCCUUGAUGUGUAGGAUAGGUGGGAGGCUUUGAAGUGUGGACGCCAGUCUGCAUGGAGCCGGCCUUGAAAUACCACCCUUUAAUGUUUGAUGUUCUAACGUUGGCCCCUUACCGGGGUUGCGGACAGUGUCUGGUGGGUAGUUUGACUGGGGCGGUCUCCUCCUAAAGAGUAACGGAGGAGCACGAAGGUUGGCUAAUCCUGGUCGGACAUCAGGAGGUUAGUGCAAUGGCAUAAGCCAGCUUGACUGCGAGCGUGACGGCGCGAGCAGGUGCGAAAGCAGGUCAUAGUGAUCCGGUGGUUCUGAAUGGAAGGGCCAUCGCUCAACGGAUAAAAGGUACUCCGGGGAUAACAGGCUGAUACCGCCCAAGAGUUCAUAUCGACGGCGGUGUUUGGCACCUCGAUGUCGGCUCAUCACAUCCUGGGGCUGAAGUAGGUCCCAAGGGUAUGGCUGUUCGCCAUUUAAAGUGGUACGCGAGCUGGGUUUAGAACGUCGUGAGACAGUUCGGUCCCUAUCUGCCGUGGGCGCUGGAGAACUGAGGGGGGCUGCUCCUAGUACGAGAGGACCGGAGUGGACGCAUCACUGGUGUUCGGGUUGUCAUGCCAAUGGCACUGCCCGGUAGCUAAAUGCGGAAGAGAUAAGUGCUGAAAGCAUCUAAGCACGAAACUUGCCCCGAGAUGAGUUCUCCCUGACUCUUUAAGGGUCCUGAAGGAACGUUGAAGACGACGACGUUGAUAGGCCGGGUGUGUAAGCGCAGCGAUGCGUUGAGCUAACCGGUACUAAUGAACCGUGAGGCUUAACCUU